rnacentral:lncRNA from 1 species
UUUUUUCUUACAAUUUAGCUUUAGUCCAACACAACUCAUCCCUUCGGUCGCUAGUUCUUCUCUUCAACUUCCUGUCUCAAGAUAUCAUUGUCUUCCUAGAGAGAUAUGGAUCGAAAUUAACAUAGAAAAAGCCUGUGAAAUUUCAAUACAAAACAAGGUUUGUGAAGGUUAAGAACAGAACCUCACUUACUUGAAUAAAUGGAUACAUGAUGGCACCUCGAGUUUUG